rnacentral:lncRNA from 12 species
AGAGAGGUGCCCUUGCUCCUGCGCCCUGGGAAGGGAACGAUACCGUUAAGGAAGCCUACAAACUGGCACCUGCGCGCGCGGCUCUCGGUGCCCCCGCGAACCCGAGGGCCAGAGCGGGCAGGGGCGGGCAGGGCGCCCACCCGACUGGGAGGACCGAGGCUGGGCUGCCGUCCUGCGGGCGGGCCCCGGGGAGCCGGCUGCCCCGCGGUCCCGGAAGGUCUGGGCGGCGGAGUUCCGCGCGGGCGCGGGCGCGGGCGCGGGCGCUCGUCGGCGGGGGCGGGAGCGCGGUGCCCGGCCGCGGAGGAGGCCCGGACCCACGGCAGGCACAGGCCCCGCGGGUGCUCCGGCGCUCCCGGCUCGCCCACCCCCGCCGGCCGCCUGGGCUUGGUGACGCGCCCGCGCCCCUCCCGGUGCCCCAGAAGUGCUCGCCUUCCCCCUGGGGCCGGCGCCUCCCGCGCCCCCACCCGCACGGUCCCGCGUUCUGCCCCCUGGCCCCGCCGCCCCCCGCACCUACCGGGCGGGGCCCGCGCUCCCCAGCAGGUGGCCCCGGGCCACGCGGCGUCCAGCGGGGCCGAGACGGAGGGAAGGCGGCUCAAACCCUCGGCCUCGCUUGUGCAAACAGUGUCCCUGCGCGCCCGCCCGCGCUGCCCCACCCGCGGCCCGCGUGCCCCAGCGGCUGACUGGGUGCUCGCGGCCCCACCCGGGCCCCUGGACGCGCUCCAGGCCCAGGCGUCGGCGCGGCCUGCUGCCCCAGGGGACCCCCCAGCCCGGGCACCCGGCCCCGAGCUGCCGCGUGUGGGGGCCAGGCCGCCGCCCCCCACCUGCAGCCCGCCGAGGCCGCCGCGCCCUCUCGGCCGCGGGACGCAGUGGUGUCAGCGGCCCGGGCCUGCUCCGCCGCGGGGCUCAAGGGCUCCUGCAAGCCCGGGCCUGCGGAGGCGGGAGGCCUCGGUCACAGGGACAGCCCCAGCAGGCCGAGUCAGCUCACCUCCCGGGUCGCCUCCCGACUCCCGGAGCUUACUCUACCCGCCCCGCCCCCGUUUGUUGACAUUAAAGUCAUUUAUCAGACACUCGGGCACUUGUCAGCACAGGCCACAAAGCUUUGUAGGGCAGAAUCAAGGAGGCGAAAGGCUGGAAAGAUGCAGGCUGCAAACAACAGACACGGGGGGAAAAAUGAAAGAACUCUGGAGAAAGGAAAGAAGGUUGAAGCUCUGAAGAAAGCUUUUCUCUUUCCUGAGAAAGGAGCAGAAACCAGCUUCGACCAGUACGGUGAUGUUCCCUGAACCUUCCCACGAGCUCUGAGUACAUCACCUAAUGCUAACAAAACCAAAGUCUCAUCCCUUCCUUGGACCAGAUUCAGAACCAGGUCUUGAUUUCCUGACAUCGCUCAUCUUGCGAUGUUUGCAAAAAGUACACAAACUCUUUUUAGUUUUAUAAGAAUUCGCUGCCUGGGAGCACAGAAGUAGUCUCGAGCAUGUAUUAAAGUAACCUUGGGAGGUUUAAUAUUUGUCCCUUUCCCCCUCUCCCAAGGGGCUCCUAUUUGAUUGGAAUGGGAUAGCACACAGGCAUCAACAUUUUGUUCAAAGCAUCCCAGGAGAUCCUAAUGUGUUGCCAAGGCUGAGAACCACCAAAAUAUUUGGAAACAAACUUAAUUGGCUAUGGUUUUUGAAGGAGCAGUGGUGGCAGUCCCUAGACUUUAUGAAAACAGAGACGUCUGGGUGGCUUAGCGGUUGGGCAUCUGCCUUUGGAUCAAGGCUUGAUCCUGGAGUCCCGGGAUCGAGUCCCACAUUGGGCUUCCUGCAUGGAGUCUGCUUCUCCCUCUGCCUGUGUCUUUGCUCUCUCUCUCUCUCUCUCUCUCUCUCAUGAAUAAAUAAAUAAAUAAAUAAAUAAAUAAAUAAAUA